CGUAGCUGUAUUAAUCAGUGAGACCGCCUGUGUGGCCAAGUCUCUAAGGACAGUGACUGUGUAGAGCUAUGAGGCGGACUCAGGGAUGUCUGGGAGCUGUGAGCCUGUGAGAUUGAGGUGUCUGAGGCUGAUCAACUCUUCAGUAUAAAUGGAGGAGUGAGGUUCAUGAUGAUGUAAUCGUCAGCCAAGCUCUCUUUUGUUCCGCUCCUGCAAUGGUGUGAAAGAGACCUUCCCCCUCCCCAUACACACACACACACACACACACACACACACACACACACACACACACACACACACACACACACACACACACACACACACAUGAACACACACACACACACACACACACACACACACACACACACACACAACACAGAGGCACAAGAAAGAUAGUGGGGUUUAGGUUUUUAGUCCUUCAGGGCCAGAGAGAGGCUCUCUCUCUCUCACUCUGUCUCUCUGUCUCUGUCUCUCUCUCUCUGUCUGUCUCUCUGUCUCUCUCGCUCUCUCUCUCUCGCCUGGGCUGUGCUGCUAAGCUCCAUCAGGAUGACAUCAUACUCAGCCUACACAAUGGGUCUGUUCAUCUCCUGAGGGCUGCGUCGCGCAACUGGACCGCUAGCCACCCACCCGCCUAAGGGGAAGAGGAG